UCACAACAAACAGGAAGCAAUGUGAAACAAUUGGCAAAACAACAGGGACAGAGGUGUGGCUUAAAUGCAAAACUAACUGAUGAGUAAAUGAAAGACAGGUG